GGAAUAUUCCACAAUGGGCGAAAGCCUGAUGGAGCAACGCCGCGUGUGUGAUGAAGGGUUUCGGCUCGUAAAACACUGUUGUAAGAGAAGAAUGACAUUGAGAGUAACUGUUCAAUGUGUGACGGUAUCUUACCAGAAAGGAACGGCUAAAUACGUGCCAG
rnacentral:rRNA from 1 species